AUCUGGGCGGCGGAAUUCAGGAUGACGGGCGUGCCUCGCGGCGCGUCGGUCGUUUGAUAUUUCCGUCGCCGAUCACCCUCAGACGUCGCGACCUGUUCGCGGUCGGUCCCUGCUCGGAGGAGCUGCGUUCGAGUUCGUUGUGUACGCGUUUCGGCGUGUCACACGGCGAAGGCGCGGAUCUCUGGCUGGCCGUCGGACAGUAUGCUUACGGUGUCCGGUGCCGUCGUCUCGUACGCGCGCGCACCGGUACCGGUCAGCGACGAAUUCUUCGGGCCUCUUUCCGACCCGUCUUGAAACACGGACCAAGGAGUCUAACAUGCGCGCGAGUCGCGGGGUGUCGAGCGUACUUCGGUGCGUUCGUUAUGUUGCGAAACCCGUACAUGUCGAAGGCGUAAUGAAAGUGAAUGGGGAAGAUGGUGUUCCGAGUACACGUUCCGCGAUCAUCGGUAUCGCGGCCGGACACCCGCAUUCCCGGGGCGUCUCAACGGCCCGUCGCUGAUGCGGACAGUCGUCUUUCGGGGCGGCUGUCGGUCGGCGAUGAACCGA
rnacentral:rRNA from 1 species